rnacentral:rRNA from 1 species
UGAUACACUGCGGCGGCUUACAUAUGCAAGUCUCAAGGUAGCAGGAGAAAGCUUGCUUUCUUGCUGACGAGUGGCGGACGGGUGAGUAAUGCUUGGGAAUCUGGCUUAUGGAGGGGGAUAACUACUGGAAACGGUAGCUAAUACCGCGUAAUAUCUUCGGGUUAAAGGGUGGGAUCUUCGGACCACUUGCCAUAAGAUGAGCAGCAAGUGGGAUUAGGUAGUUGGUGGGGUAAAGGCCUACCAAGCCGACGAUCUCUAGCUGGUCUGAGAGGAUGGCCAGCCACACUGGAACUGAGACACGGUCCAGACUCCUACGGGAGGCAGCAGUGGGGAAUAUUGCACAAUGGGGGGAACCCUGAUGCAGCCAUGCCGCGUGAAUAAAGAAGGCCUUCGGGUUGUAAAGUUCUUUCGGUGAUGAGGAAGGCAGAUAAGUUAAUAGCUUGUUUGAUUGACGUUAGUCACAGAAGAAGCACCGGCUAACUCCGUGCCAGCAGCCGCGGUAAU